AUGGGGCUCCGCUGCGCCAUCAAGCUCGGCAUCCCGACCGCCAUCCACCGCCUCGGCGGGGUCACCUCGCUGCCGGACCUGGUGGCCGCGCUGUCACUCCCCGCGAGUAAGCAACCCUUCCUCGGCCGCCUGAUGCGUGUGCUGGUCACGUCGGGCGUCUUUGCAGCCGGCGGCGACUCCGACUCCGAGGCGGAGGUGGAGGAGCUGUUCCGCCUCAACCCGCUGUCGCGCAUCCUGGUGGACGGCGUGGUGGCGGACGAGCACCACAGCCAGACGUCCUUCGUGCUCGCCGCGACGUCGCCCUUCUACACGGAGGCCGCGCUGGGGCUGGCCGAUUGGUUCAGGAAGGACAUCACGGGGCCGGUGCCGUCGCCGUUCGAGGACGUGCAUGGCGCGUCGCUCUUCGACGAGAGCACGGCGCUCCUGGACCAGGAGCUCGACGAGCUGGUCACCGAAGGUUUGGCCGCCCAUGACAACCUCGGGAUUGGCACGAUCAUGCGAGAGUGCCAUGACCUCUUCAAGGGACUCGAGUCCCUUACAGAUUGCUGCGGUGGCGAUGGGACGACGGCGAGGGCCAUCACCAAGGCCCAUCCGCAUGUCAAGUGCAUCGUGCUGGACCUUCCCAAGGUGAUCGACAAAGCUCCUUCUGACGGGAUUGUCAACUAUGUUGCUGGUGACUUGUUCCACUCCGUCCCAAAGUCUCAGGCGGUGAUGCUCAAGCUUGUCCUGCACCACUGGAGUGAUGAGGACUGUGUGAAGAUCUUGUCCCAGUGUAGGGAUGCCAUUCCUUCACAUGAGGAGGGAGGAAAGGUGAUCAUUAUAGAUAUUGUGGUUGGGCCUUCAUUAGGACCAGUAAUGUUUGAGGCCCAGCUUUUGAUGGACAUGCUCAUGCUUGUGAACACAAGAGGCCGUCAACGUACUGAGAAUGACUGGCGUGAGCUCUUCAUGAAGGCAGGGUUCAGUGACUAUAAAAUUGUCAAGAAACUGGGAGCACGAGGUGUCUUUGAGGUCUAUAAGUGA
rnacentral:rRNA from 1 species